rnacentral:lncRNA from 1 species
AAAACUAAAGAUUAAGUCACCUGUAAAUCUAUAAUUUAUGCCCGUGACCCUUACAUGUACAAUGUUUUGCUUGCGCAUGAUAAUUCAUUUAAUAAUACCGGCCAGUCUUUCUUUUAUCUGCGUUGUUCAUCACGUAAAAACUCUUUUGCACAUAAGAUCAUUUUCUUUUUCAUCACGUUACUUCUAGACACAAGAAAUUGAACAGCCAACUUCCUCCAUUCAUCCUCUAAUUUAUACUCUUUGAAAUAACAAACAAACAAAAUUUAGGUCAGUAGUAAGAUCAAGUAAAUUUUGUGCAAUGCAGAUUCAAUAUCAUUUCUAUCUAAUCUUAUCCACUCAAGAUAUCCACGAAAAUCUAAAUUUUCACAAAACCAAAUGGUUGACUAACCAUGCAAUCAGGAAUUUGUGCUAUAGUAAGGUUCUCCAUCCACCAAAUCACAAACAUACCACAUAUAUACCCAUUACACUGUCUCGAAAUUCUUUAUUGUUUGUGAUGGGAAUGAAAACUCUGAAAUCUAAAGUCGCUCCCAUGUAACAUCCGAAUUUGUCCUUCAAUAUCUCAUUAAGUGCUUUCAACUAUAGUGAUUAAAAAAACAAUGCAAUCAGUGUGUACUCUAAAUGACGAAAUGGAAACAUAAAAGGUAGAAGAUAGUUGAAAUAAAGUUUAUUGUUGAAACAAAGUUUUUGAAUAAUCAAGUUUAUUGAAUAAUUAUGGAUUGACAAAGAUUACCAAAAUAGAUAAAUCUAAAAUAUUAUUUUAUGAUAAAAUUUUCCUAAUCUAAAUAAGAAAAGAAAAACAAAUGGUGUCUAAAUCUGAAUUCUAGGAAAAAAAAAAA